rnacentral:rRNA from 1 species
CCUACGGGAGGCAGCAGUGGGGAAUUUUGGACAAUGGGCGAAAGCCUGAUCCAGCCAUGCCGCGUGCAGGAUGAAGGCCUUCGGGUUGUAAACUGCUUUUGCACGGAACGAAAAGGUCUUUUCUAAUAAAGAAGGCUCAUGACGGUACCGUAAGAAUAAGCACCGGCUAACUACGUGCCAGCAGCCGCGGUAAUACGUAGGGUGCGAGCGUUAAUCGGAAUUACUGGGCGUAAAGCGUGCGCAGGCGGUUAUAUAAGACAGUUGUGAAAUCCCCGGGCUCAACCUGGGAACUGCAUCUGUGACUGUAUAGCUAGAGUACGGUAGAGGGGGAUGGAAUUCCGCGUGUAGCAGUGAAAUGCGUAGAUAUGCGGAGGAACACCGAUGGCGAAGGCAAUCCCCUGGACCUGUACUGACGCUCAUGCACGAAAGCGUGGGGAGCAAACAGGAUUAGAUACCCUGGUAGUCCACGCCCUAAACGAUGUCAACUGGUUGUUGGGUCUUCACUGACUCAGUAACGAAGCUAACGCGUGAAGUUGACCGCCUGGGGAGUACGGCCGCAAGGUUGAAACUCAAAUGAAAUUGACGG